GACGAACGCUGGCGGCGUGCUUAACACAUGCAAGUCGAACGAAGUGGCGAACGGGUGAGUAACGCGUAAUCAACCUGCCCUUCAGAGGGGGACAACAGUUGGAAACGACUGCUAAUACCGCAUACUGAAGGAGGGGAUUGCGUCUGAUUAGCUAGUUGGAGGGGUAACGGCCCACCAAGGCGAUGAUCAGUAGCCGGUCUGAGAGGAUGAACGGCCACAUUGGGACUGAGACACGGCCCAGACUCCUACGGGAGGCAGCAGUGAGGAAUAUUGGUCAAUGGGCGUUAGCCUGAACCAGCCAAGUAGCGUGAAGGAUGAAGGUCUAUGGGUCGUAAACUUCUUUUAUAUAAGAAUAUGUAUUAUAUGAAUAAGGAUCGGCUAACUCCGUGCCAGCAGCCGCGGUAAUAC
rnacentral:rRNA from 1 species